rnacentral:rRNA from 1 species
UACAGAGGUCCCAAGCGUUGUUCGGAUUUACUGGGCGUAAAGGGCGCGUAGGCGGUCAGCACAAGUCAGUUGUGAAAUCUCCGGGCUUAACUCGGAAAGGUCAACUGAUACUGUGCGACUAGAGUGCGGAAGGGGCAACUGGAAUUCUCGGUGUAGCGGUGAAAUGCGUAGAUAUCGAGAGGAACACCUGCGGCGAAGGCGGGUUGCUGGGCCGACACUGACGCUGAUGCGCGAAAGCCAGGGGAGCAAACAGG